rnacentral:rRNA from 1 species
ACUCCUACGGGAGGCAGCAGUGGGGAAUCUUGGACAAUGGGCGCAAGCCUGAUCCAGCCAUGCCGCGUGAGUGAUGAAGGCCUUAGGGUCGUAAAAGCUCUUUCGCCAGGGAUGAUAAUGACAGUACCUGGUAAAGAAACCCCGGCUAACUCCGUGCCAGCAGCCGCGGUAAUACGGAGGGGGUUAGCGUUGUUCGGAAUUACUGGGGCGUAAAGCGCGCGUAGGCGGGGUUGUUAAGUUAGAGGUGAAAUCCCGGGGGCUCAACCCCGGAACUGCCUUUAAUACUGGCAACCUAGAGUUCGAGAGAGGUGAGUGGAAUUCCGAGUGUAGAGGUGAAAUUCGUAGAUAUUCGGAGGAACACCAGUGGCGAAGGCGGCUCACUGGCUCGAUACUGACGCUGAGGUGCGAAAGUGUGGGGAGCAAACAGGAUUAGAUACCCUGGUAGACUGUCA